CCAACGCCUGGCAAAAAACAUCAUUGCAUUAAUAUUGUGAUAGGGGGAGGGGGUAAAGAUUACAUAAUUCAGAGCUAGGGGAGGACACGAAUAAGAAAGCUCACCACCUGAGAGUCAUCUACCAUAUGGUUGAAAUGGAAAUUACUUAAUAACCUAACCGAAAAUAAAAUGAAAGAACAGCUGGUAGUAUGAAAAAAUGGGGAAUAAAAAAGGACGGAGUAUAAAAGCAAACGUGAUAUAGCGAUAACAAAUCGCUGCAAAUUGGGAAGCGAAAGGAAUGGUAUAAAUCUGAAGAUCGUCGAGAAAAAAAGAAAAUCGGAUAGUGAUCACGGUGGAAUAGAUGCGUUUGUGACUGGCAGUGGUAGAUUUAGUGAAUAUUUUGUCCAUUCGCAUUCACAUAAUAAUAAUAUAUUAUAAUAAUAGUUAUAACAAUGUCAACAAAUUUGCAAAAUUUUAGAGAUUAAGUAGAUUUUGGCGUAUGAAAAAUAAAGAACAUUAUUAUUGUCUUAUACCAUAAUGAUAAAUAGAGAUUUCAGUAAGUACCAAACUUAAUUUAAAUGAGGUAGAAUUUAUUUUAUAAUAAUUAUUUAAUAAACUAAUUAUUGCAUGUCGUAAAUUAAAAAUAAUACAAUUUACCGGAUCAUCAAACAUGAUGCUUUACAGAAACUACAAUAAUAUUCGAUUUUUAAAAUUAAAAUAUCAAUGAAAAAAGUUAUUAAUUCUCGUUUUUGUAUUACAGUAAUUAUUUUAGUGUUAAUAUUAUUUUGAUUAUAAAUUAUUCUUAUCAAACGCAUUAAGCAAUAUAACAAUAUUGAACGUACUUAUAUGAUAUUAUAAUAUUAUAAAUAUUGUACGAAUGUACAAAUUGUGUUCCUAAAUAGAAAAUGUCUUUAAUGGGUAUAAAUAUAAGUCUGAUUUUAAAUUGUUUUCAACCUUUUAUAAAUCAUAAGAUACAUGGAACUAUUAUAAAUGAUUUAAGGAA